AGUGAACGCUGGCGGUAGGCCUAACACAUGCAAGUCGAACGGCAGCACAGUAAGAGCUUGCUCCUACGGGUGGCGAGUGGCGGACGGGUGAGGAAUACAUCGGAAUCUACUUUUUCGUGGGGGAUAACGUAGGGAAACUUACGCUAAUACCGCAUACGACCUACGGGUGAAAGCAGUGGUUCUUCGGACCUUGCGCGACUGAAUGAGCCGGUGUCGGAUUAGCUAGUUGGCGGGGUAAAGGCCCACCAAGGCGACGAUCCGUAGCUGGUCUGAGAGGAUGAUCAGCCACACUGGAACUGAGACACGGUCCAGACUCCUACGGGAGGCAGCAGUGGGGAAUAUUGGACAAUGGGCGCAAGCCUGAUCCAGCCAUACCGCGUGGGUGAAGAAGGCCUUCGGGUUGUAAAGCCCUUUUGUUGGGAAAGAAAAGCAGCAGGUUAAUACCCCGCUGUUCUGACGGUACCCAAAGAAUAAGCACCGGCUAACUUCGUG
rnacentral:rRNA from 1 species